rnacentral:rRNA from 1 species
AAUCUUCCGCAAUGGACGCAAGUCUGACGGAGCAACGCCGCGUGAACGAUGAAUGCAUUCUGGUCGUAAAGUUCUGUUGUUAGGGAAGAACAAGUAUUGUUCGAACAGGGCAGUACUUUGACGGUACCUAACCAGAAAUCCCCGCCUACCUACGUGCCUGCAGCCGCGGUAAUACGUAGGUGGCAAGCGUUGUCCGGAAUUAUUGGGCGCAAAGCGCGCGCAGGCGGUCUUUUAAGUCUGAUGUGAAAGCCCUCGGCUCAACCGGGGAGGGUCAUUGGAAACUGGGAGACUUGAGUGCAGAAGAGGAGAGUGGAAUUCCAUGUGUAGCGGUGAAAUGCGUAGAGAUAUGGAGGAACACCAGUGGCGAAGGCGACUCUCUGGUCUGCAACUGACGCUGAGGCGCGAAAGCGUGGGGAGCAAAC